rnacentral:lncRNA from 1 species
GAAUUUUAGGUUAAUGCUAAUGCAAUAGGUACGAAAAUUCAUAGGUUAGCUAAUUUGAUGUUACAAUUAACAUGAAAUAAAGUUUGUGAAGACCUUAGUGCUAGAAAUACUUGCAUGCAUUAAGUUAAGAUUAUGCAAUUAAACGAUCACUACUUCCACAGCCACCUUGUCUCAAGCAUUCAAUUGCAUUCUAAGAUAUCUUUGUUCAAAUCAAGUGUGACUACUAUACCAAAAGUCUGUAAAAUGGACCAAUCAACUAACCCAUCAGUACUAGCAAAGUCUCUUUUUCUGUUUGCUCGAAAAUUGUGUUCUAAAAUACCAUUAUUCACAUAACUACUAUAUCAAAACACAAACUAAUGGAUUG